UGAGUAACGCGUAUCCAACCUUCCGUACACUCAGGGAUAGCCUUUCGAAAGAAAGAUUAAUACCUGAUGGUAUGAUGAGAUUGCAUGAUAGCAUCAUUAAAGAUUUAUCGGUGUACGAUGGGGAUGCGUUCCAUUAGGUAGUAGGCGGGGUAACGGCCCACCUAGCCGACGAUGGAUAGGGGUUCUGAGAGGAAGGUCCCCCACAUUGGAACUGAGACACGGUCCAAACUCCUACGGGAGGCAGCAGUGAGGAAUAUUGGUCAAUGGACGAGAGUCUGAACCAGCCAAGUAGCGUGAAGGAUGAAGGUCCUACGGAUUGUAAACUUCUUUUAUAAGGGAAUAAAACCUCCCACGUGUGGGAACUUGUAUGUACCUUAUGAAUAAGCACCGGCUAACUCCGUGCCAGCAGCCGCGGUAAUACGGAGGAUGCGAGCGUUAUCCGGAUUUAUUGGGUUUAAAGGGAGCGCAGACGGGUCGUUAAGUCAGCUGUGAAAGUUUGGGGCUCAACCUUAAAAUUGCAGUUGAUACUGGCGUCCUUGAGUGCGGUUGAGGUGUGCGGAAUUCGUGGUGUAGCGGUGAAAUGCUUAGAUAUCACGAAGAACUCCGAUUGCGAAGGCAGCACACUAAGCCGUAACUGACGUUCAUGCUCGAAGGUGUGGGUAUCAAACAGGAUUAGAUACCCUGGUAGUCCACACGGUAAACGAUGGAUACUCGCUGUUGGCGAUAUACAGUCAGCGGCUUAGCGAAAGCGUUAAGUAUCCCACCUGGGGAGUACGCCGG
rnacentral:rRNA from 1 species